UACGAAGGGGGCUAGCGUUGUUCGGAAUUACUGGGCGUAAAGCGCACGUAGGCGGACUCUUAAGUCAGGGGUGAAAUCCCGGGGCUCAACCUCGGAACUGCCUUUGAUACUGUGAGUCUCGAGACCGGAAGAGGUGAGUGGAAUUCCUAGUGUAUAGGUGAAAUUCGUAGAUAUUAGGAAGAACACCAGUGGCGAAGGCGGCUCACUGGUCCGGUUCUGACGCUGAGGUGCGGAUGCGUGCGGAGCAAACAGG
rnacentral:rRNA from 1 species